UGGUGACGAGGUAGGUCAGGGGUAUCUGUGAAAACAAACACUUGGGGAUGAUUCAGAGGAGUCUAGAGGGUUCACGUGACCAACUGACCAAUUUUGUUAUUACAGAGAAAAUAAUUUUUUGGAUUUUUAUGAAGGGCUGUUGUUGAUAUGUGGGCGUCACAACUGCUUGUGUGAGGUUCGGUUUCGUAAAAGGCAAAUAAUUAUUUUUUAUCUAAUUAGGACAGUUCAUUUCGUCUCGUGAGUCUUCUGGAAGGUUCUACCGAAUUGAGACAUGAAAAUGGGGGAGAUUUUGAGAUGUGUCAAUGGGUCAUGUGGUGGUUUAAUUUCAGGGGAUGACAAUACAUUUUGGAGAUUGGGGAAUAUGGAAAAAAUUAACUUCAGUGAAUUUCAAGAUCAACUAUGGUUUGAGAGUUGGUUGAUUAGGCACUUUGUUAAUUAAUUUUCUGUUACUGGACUACUACAAUUUCAGAAGUCGGUGAAUUUUGAGGUUGACAUUCGAGUUGGUUAAGCCCUUAGUUCAACUGAUUUUUUUUAAUCGCAUCACAAACAGAUGAUUAUCGAUUUGGCAAAUGGUCGGACAGACUCCACAACUAUUCAGUAGCGAAAGGAAACGAUUUGAGUCUUGGGAAAAGUUGAGUGACUUUUUUUGGAAUAAAGGACAUGGAUUAGGUCGCAAUUUUGGAUGAAAUGAAUUUCCAAAGAGUUAUGUCGACAGAGCCCGAAAAAAGUGAUUAAAGAAAGAGUUAACUUGACAUAGAUUUUAUUUGAUUGGUCACGUAAUAUCCAAAGCAAUUUUUUUAAUUGGGGAGUUUCAAUAGAAGAAUUGAAUUUAAGCUCCAUUUUAAGGGAUCGAAAGUGUGCACUAGAUUUAGAGGUAGUCGAAGGGAGAAGUACUGACUUUGGAUGUGUGUGUGAUACUCUAUUGUUUCUUUAUAACUUUUCUGCGUUAUCCACCAAAUUUAAUUAAUACAGAAAAGAAGAAAGAUUUAUUAAAUCUACUUAUCUACAUUAACGAGAACAGUUGGGCUUUUCGCCAGAAUUUGCCCACUGAUGAGGGUCUCUAGCUGACCCAGAAUUUUUUCCUCGAAUGAUGAUUCCAUGAACACAGAUUCCGCUGAUAAACAUCAAAAUUUAAUUGUUUAUCAUUCAUGUCUCGAAAUGAAUCUCCUCGCCGUAGUCAAACAACUUGUUUAUUCUUAUUUUAUCACUGUGAUUCCCCUUAGUGUCUGUCCUUAUGUAAAAAUAUCACUAUAUACAUUGUCCAUAAUGAAAGAAAUUUUAGAAAAAUUCUCCACAAAUUAAUUUUUGAACUCCAAUUAGUUUUCUAUUGUCAGAUGAUUUAAGUCGACAUAACUCCAUUCAAGUUGAAGAGCCUGAGAGCUACUUGACCCUUCUAUUGUGUUCACAUUUUUCAUCCAAGUCAAUCAAAUCAAAUAAAUAAUCCUCCACAGAAGAUGAAACUAAUUAUGAAGUAAAAUCAUUCCCCAGGUGGUCAAACUCACUACUGACAUUGACUACAUUCCAAACAGAACAGCCACAAUCAAUUCUUCAUCGCUCCAAAAUUUAUUUCUCCAUUUCAACAAUUUCCUCCUUCGGUUACUGAAUCAUUAAUUAAUUACCCAAGAUACCUCGAUAUCGCCCAUUUUUUUUGUCGAAUUCGAUUGAACAAAACGAAAAUCAUCUGCUCCGUUAAGGAUUCUUUCUCAACAAAUAAUUUGUUCACGACAAAAGUAAAAAUCUGACAAAAUAAUUUCAUAAAAACUCAAUAGUUUAAACUUUAUUGGAAAAACGGAAUUAUAUUCACACAUUUCUGACAAGAUGAUUGAAAAUGGACUAGUUCUAGCCUAACGUAGGCCAUAGCACAGAUCAGCUCAUGCCUAUUCAAAAGCUGCAUCAGCCCUGUUCAUCAUGACAGGACUACCAAAGGCUCUGUGAAUUUUUUCAUCCCUUUUCCCCGAUUUUCUGCGCCUCUCCAAUGGGGAUGAUGGUUGAGAGACCGAUGGAAAGGGGGUGGUGGGGUCUACAGACUCCCCAGUGGUUGGAGCGGACAUCUGGCCCUCCAGAAAAGGCCCUGACAGCAUCGAAUCAGGUGUUCCAUCAAUGGAAUACGGAACUGGAGCCACCCUAGGGCCCAGCAGACCAGCAGAUCUUGAAUGAUUCUCUUCAGGAACUGUCGAUGUCCUCCUGAAGGGAGUUCUCCUGGAACUCAUUGAAGAAGAAAUCAUCUCGAUUAAUUUAAAUUGAAAGUGACAGCCGAAGCACGAGCACAUGUCCAUUUGAGGGGCACCAGUGGGGACGACGUGUCCUUUACUUACUGAUUACUGUCUACUGGAGAGGAAGUUUGGUCUGGACUGUCUGUGAAUACAUUUCCAUUGUCCCAGGAGUUGUGCCUGCGGUGGUGGCUCUUGUCUCUGUACGUCUCUGCUAUAUUUGAAAAACUCCCGACAAUUCGCUUGUCCAGCUCCUUCAGGACUUUCUCCGGCAUUCCGGUCUCCAGGGUCGAUAGAAUAUUAGUCGCAAGACCAUUCUGGAAUUUUAAACGUUGGAAUGAGCUUCUGAAUGAAGGAUUAGUCCACACGUUAGUCGCCCCAGUAAGUUGUUCACUGCUCCCCGAACUGUUAAGAAUCUCCGCAGAAUAAGUGGGUCGUGCAGGAAUGAUAGGAGAUCUGCAACAAACCCUUGAAUCACCAGAACGUGAAUUAAAACAUUGAAUCAAAUGAUUCAUCAAUUAUAUCAUCUCCAACUCACGUGUUCA